ACAGAUCGUUCAGUAGUUUGAUCCUGGCUCAGGACGAACGCUGGCGGCGUGCUUAAAACAUGCAAGUCGAACGGACUUAACAAGGUGCUUGCACCGAGUUAAGUUAGUGGCGGACGGGUGAGUAACGCGUGAGCAAUCUACCUAUCACUGGGGAAUAACGACCGGAAACGGACGCUAAUACCGCAUAUGACCACAACCUAGCAUUAGGAAGGGGUGAAAGAUUUAUCGGUGAUAGAUGAGCUUGCGUCUCAUUAGCUAGUUGGUGGGGUAACGGCCUACCAAGGCAACGAUGAGUAGCCGAUCUGAGAGGAUGAACGGCCACAUUGGAACUGAGAUACGGUCCAA
rnacentral:rRNA from 1 species